GCGGUCGGGCCGAGGGACGAUGGUCAGUGGACGGACGGGGCCAGGGAGCAGUGCGCACGAGCGGCACGGCGGUACCUUCAGGCCUCCAGGUACGGGCACCCCUCGCCCGGACGCUGCUGUGGGUGAAGGGGCGCGGACGGGACUCCCCUGCGGGGCGGACGCCUGAACACGAGGCUGUGGCGGAAGACGCUGUAGGGUGCGCGGACUCCCGCGGAACAUGCCGGGGGCUCGGCCAGCCACGGCGCUCCCAGCGUGGAGGGCGAGGGGCAUCCGGGAGCGGCGGGGAGGGAGGGCUCGGUCACCCCUUAAGCUGCCACCCCAGUCCCACAACCAGCACCCCGAUCCCAUCGCAGUCCCACAGCCGGCACCCCGAUCCCACCCCAGCCCAACAGCUGGCAUCCCUAUGCCAUAGCUAACACCCUGUCCCACCGCUGUCCCACGGCCCGCACCCCGAUCCCAUAGCUGACACCCCGGUCCCGCCCCAGUCCCGCAGCCGACACCCCGAUCCCAGCCGGAUCCCGCAGCCAGCGCGGAUCCUGUGGCGCUCGUCUAGCCCCCAGGGCUCGUUUAUACGUUUUAUUGGCAGAGGCUGGAGCUGGCUCUAUUGGCCUCUGUACUGGAUUUCUUCCCCUGCACCGCAGGGCUGGCUCUCCUGACCUCUCCAGGGUCAUCCAGCACCCUUGUGCUUGCUGUCACCCGCUGCCUGUCUGCAGGAUCCUGGAUUCCCUAUCGGGGACCGAAAUUAGUCAGAAAAUAGGAAGCAGAUGCUUGUUUGGGAUGGAGCCCUGACCCUGUGCUCACACUUUAGGAGGAGGGCUCUGCAGGCCGCCUCCCGGAAUGGGAGGUUCCCAAGCCACUGCACUUCGGAGGGGCUGUAAUUAGAGUUGCACUUUCAUUCUGUUCCCAGUAAAGUGGACCGUGCUCAAGCCAGUGAGGAAAAGGUAUUCUUAACAAUUACAUUGGCCGAGCGCAGUGGCUCAUGCCUUUUAUCUCAACACUUUGGGAGGCCAAGGCGGGAGGAUCACCUGU
rnacentral:lncRNA from 1 species